CCGGUGGGUGACUUGGAGGUUGGAUGCAAACGUGAGGCUGUUUCACGGUCAGGUGCCCGCAGCCGUGCUGCCAUUUCACAUUUAUUGUACCGAGGAAAGCCUCUCCCCACUGAGUCAUGUGCCUCGGAGUUGGGAAAUGGUCCUAAAUGUGGUAGAAAUCACUAAAAAGAGGCACUUUGAUGAGUUUAGCCUUGAACUCUGGGCAGAAUGCGCGGGCACACGACCCCCGGUCUCAAACGUGUCCUCUGCCCGCUCUCUGUCCAGGCCUGUCUGGAAUGAUCGAGUGGCGAGCCAACAGGUGUCCCGGUUUGCCGACGCUGGGCUGUCACCGGCUGCAUGAAUUAUGAAGAUGUACAGUGUUGCUGCUGGCGCAACGGAGAAGAGAUUGACAUCUAAACUACAGGAGACUGUUCGCCAUGGCAACCUGACUGCAUGCAACGAGUGCGGGAAAGAUACUGUUAGUCAAGUAUACAAUUACUGCACAAUUAGUGCAACAGUAUGUUUUGUUGUUUUUUUUUGCAGUGGUGAAGAACCUCAAUCAGAGAUGUUUACAAUAUUUUGAAUGUAGCUAAACAGAGUAACCACUUUUGUUGUGUUGUUGUCAUUUCAUUCACCUGUAAAAUGAAACGUGUAACUUUCUGUAAAAAGAAUUAUACGAUUCAACCACCAGAUGGCGGCACACGUUUUGGAGCAGCCGGAAGCAAAUGGUGUCAUCCCUUUAGCCCAAAAAAAAUACUUUGCGGUUAAUUACAUUUCUUAUUUACCAAUAAAGCCGUAUAAUCUAUCGAUGUUGCUAUGCAUGUAAGAAUAAAUUACCAGAACAACAUUCUGUCGUUCGAUUGUAUUUGUUUUUUAAAUUAUGAACAAUGAGGUCAGAGGUCACCGUGUGUCCACUUAAAAUGGCGGACG